GACAAACGCUGGCGGCGUGCCUAACACAUGCAAGUCGAACGAAGUAUGUUUUUCGGAAUAUACUUAGUGGCGGACGGGUGAGUAACGCGUGAAUAAUCUGCCCCAUACAAAGGAAUAGCCUCGGGAAACCGGGAAUAAAACCAUAUGACACUUAAGAGCCGCAUGGAACUUAAGUCAAAUCGGUAGAGGUAUGGGAUGAGUUCGCGUCUGAUUAGUUAGUUGGCGGGGUAAAAGCCCACCAAGGCGACGAUCAGUAGCCGGCCUGAGAGGGUGAACGGCCACAUUGGAACUGAGAGACGGUCCAAACUCCUACGGGAGGCAGCAGUGGGGAAUAUUGCACAAUGGAGGGAACUCUGAUGCAGCGACGCCGUGUGAGUGAAGAAGGUCUUCGGAUCGUAAAACUCUGUCCUUGGUGACGAAAGAAAUGACGGUAGCCAAGGAGGAAGCCCCGGCUAACUACGUG
rnacentral:rRNA from 1 species